GUGUGCACUCAAAAGGAGAAAGUAUUAGUACUCCCCUUGAGAAAGAUGGAAGAGGUCCCAGUGGCCUUUAUCAACACUUAGGUGCUUAAGGCAUUACCAUCUAUUUUAUAGCAUGAUACUGGAGGUAGA